AGCGAACGCUGGCGGCAGGCUUAACACAUGCAAGUCGAGCGGGCAUCCUUGUGGUGUCAGCGGCAGACGGGUGAGUAACGCGUGGGAACGUGCCCUUCGGUUCGGAAUAACUCAGGGAAACUUGAGCUAAUACCGGAUACGUGCUAGAGCAGAAAGGUUUAUCUGCCUAAGGCUCGGCCCGCUUCUGAUUAGCUAGUUUGGGAGGUUAUGGCUCACCAAGGCGACGAUCAGUAGCUGGUCUGAGAGGAUGAGCAGACACACUGGGACUGAGACACGGCCCAGAAUCCUACGGGAGGCAGCAGUGGGGAAUACUGGCAAAUGGGGGCAACCAUGAUCCAGCCAUGCUGCGUGAGUGAUGACGGCCUUAGGGUUGUAAAGCACGUUUCUACGGGACGAUAAUGACGGUACCGGAGGAAUAAGCCCCGGCUAACUUCGUG
rnacentral:rRNA from 1 species